rnacentral:snRNA from 1 species
CACACUUCCCAGCCCUUGGCUGAGAUCAAGUGCAUCAUCUUUUCUUAUCACUUUAGCAUCUGAUACAUCCUUAGCUUGAAGAUUUUACAUUAAACGGAUUUGGAGGGCAUGGGAAGGAGUAACCCCUUCCUCCAUUCACUCAUAGAAUCAUAGAAUCAUUUGGUUGGAAAAGACCUUU